CUGGCUCAGGAUGAACGCUAGCGACAGGCUAACACAUGCAAGUCGAGGGCAGCAUAAAAGUAGCAAUACGUUUGGUGGCGACCGGCGCACGGGUGAGUAACGCGUAUGCAACCUACCUAUCAGAGGGGAAUAACCCGGCGAAAGUCGGACUAAUACCGCAUAAAACAGGGGCACCGCAUGGUGAUAUUUGUUAAAGAAAUUCGCUGAUAGAUGGGCAUGCGUUCCAUUAGGUAGUUGGUGAGGUAACGGCUCACCAAGCCGACGAUGGAUAGGGGAACUGAGAGGUUGGUCCCCCACACUGGUACUGAGACACGGACCAGACUCCUACGGGAGGCAGCAGUGAGGAAUAUUGGUCAAUGGGCGGGAGCCUGAACCAGCCAAGUCGCCGUGAAGGAAGAAGGAUCUAUGGUUCGUAAACUUCUUUUGCAGGGGAAUAAAGUGCAGGACGUGUCCUGUUUUGUAUGUACCCUGAGAAUAAGGAUCGGCUAACUCCGUGCCAGCCGCGGC
rnacentral:rRNA from 1 species